rnacentral:rRNA from 1 species
UACGGAGGGUGCAAGCGUUAUCCGGAUUUACUGGGUUUAAAGGGUGCGUAGGUGGGUUGGUAAGUCAGUGGUGAAAUCUCCGAGCUUAACUUGGAAACUGCCAUUGAUACUAUCAGUCUUGAAUACCGUGGAGGUCAGCGGAAUAUGUCAUGUAGCGGUGAAAUGCUUAGAUAUGACAUAGAACACCAAUUGCGAAGGCAGCUGACUACGCGAAUAUUGACACUGAUGCACGAAAGCGUGGGGAUCAAACAGG